UACGAAGGGGGGCUAGCGUUGCUCGGAAUCACUGGGCGUAAAGCGCACGUAGGCGGACUCUUAAGUCGGUGGUGAAAUCCUGGAGCUCAACUCCAGAACUGCCUUCGAUACUGGGAGUCUCGAGUCCGGGAGAGGUGAGUGGAACUGCGAGUGUAGAGGUGAAAUUCGUAGAUAUUCGCAAGAACACCAGUGGCGAAGGCGGCUCACUGGCCCGGUACUGACGCUGAGGUGCGAAAGCUAGGGGAGCAAACGGG
rnacentral:rRNA from 1 species